rnacentral:rRNA from 1 species
GAUGAACGCUGGCGGCGUGCCUAAUACAUGCAAGUCGAGCGAACGGACGAGAAGCUUGCUUCUCUGAUGUUAGCGGCGGACGGGUGAGUAACACGUGGAUAACCUACCUAUAAGACUGGGAUAACUUCGGGAAACCGGAGCUAAUACCGGAUAAUAUUUUGAACCGCAGGGUUCAAAAGUGAAAGACGGUCUUGCUGUCACUUAUAGAUGGAUCCGCGCUGCAUUAGCUAGUUGGUAAGGUAACGGCUUACCAAGGCAACGAUGCAUAGCCGACCUGAGAGGGUGAUCGGCCACACUGGAACUGGGACACGGUCCAGACUCCUACGGGAGGCAGCAGUAGGGAAUCUUCCGCAAUGGGCGAAAGCCUGACGGAGCAACGCCGCGUGAGUGAUGAAGGUCUUCGGAUCGUAAAGCUCUGUUAUUAGGGAAGAACAUAUGUGUAAGUAACUGUGCACAUCUUGACGGUACCUAAUCAGAAAGCCACGGCUAACUACGUG